ensembl:lncRNA
AUGGCAUUGAUUAGAUCAGAAGAUAUCAAACGGAGUGGCACAUGCUUGCAAACACUGCAGGUCCUGUUAUCUAAUGAAAUCACAUUCAUGUUAUCCGUCUUUUCUACAUCUAAAGUCUGUGUCUGUUCUUUUAGCAGAAACCGAAGUCUCCCAUCACUCCAGUGUUGCUCAGCACUCCUGCCAAACUUAAUGGACCAAGACCAAAUGGCAUCAGGAUCUGUGAGCUCCGAGGGAGGACAAAAUGGACCGCAAGCCUGGAAUCCAAAAGCCAAGAUGGACACGGGCCAUGCUGGACCUCAUCCCGUGUUGAGAGAUCCCACACGCAGGCGUGGAAGUGCACCGGAGUCCUUCAGCUCCUCAAUUUCAUCCAUCACUAUCACUUCCAGGAAGGUCACACAGAUUUCCAAGCCUUUGUGUACAACGAUGAAUGACCUCGCCGAUGGACGAAGAAAAGCCUUAGUGGUCAAAGUCACCGAACAGAGAACGACAAGCACCACCAGCCGGCCCAUCAUCUCUGCCUCUGGCUAUAAUCAUGAAGAGAUUGACCACGGCGUGGUACUCAGGAGAAAGGCAACCAUUGUGAAAAUGACCGAACAGAGAGAGUGUUUCAGUCCAUCACAAUACAGACACAGCUACACUGAAGGACUCAAUGAAGCCCAGUUAAGGAAUGAAUCUGAAGUCAAUCCCUCACCAUUAAACCAAACACUCACUAUAUCUUUAGAGCCAGGAGGAAACCAGUGGAGGUCCCAGCACAGAUCUAGCCUGUCUCUUUACCUUAACAACCUAAAUACUAGCAGCACAGCAAGGGAGAGCAACACCAAAAAAUACAAGCCACCUCGAAGGCCUCUCAGCUGCGACCCAAGCUUGUUUAACUGCACAGAACUUGGCACUAAUGCAGUUAAACAUCCAGCAUUUUACAACAAAAGCUCUCCUGUUCCCCAGAAGACAAAUAUUGACCUUGUUAGUUCCAGCAGCAGUGAAGCAAGAAGGUGCUCAGCCUCCAGUGGCGAGGACGGGAGCGCAGGGAAAGAGGGAUUGGAGUUGGAUCGAAGGCUUGAGGAGCGAGAGGGACCUAUUUCAGGAAUCAAACCUCUCACGCUACUCAAAGCAGCAGGUAAUAGCAGAACCUCUGUGGAUAUUCGGCGGUAGAUGUACAAGAACAUACUGUAGGCUGAGGCCGCGCUGUGCUUCUUUGAUGUAUAAUGGAUGAGUAUGAUCGUGCAUGUGAGAGAGCAGAGGUUUUUAAUUGAAGUUUUCAUGGCAGGUACGCACGGUAGCGGUGGACUACCCUGAAAUGAGAGAUUUCUCUGCUGUCUCUCUCUUUCGGUCUUGCGUUUUCUCAUCUUUUCAUUUUCCCACACAUCUCUUUGCAUGCAUAAUCUAUUUCUACCCUGCUUUCAAUACCGGUUUUUGAGCUUCCGUGGGAAUUUAGAGCUGCUACACACACAGAGAAAUCUGACAGCCACCGAAAUACAUGCAUACACACAACUAUCUGAGGAUACGAUUGGCGUAUGACAUCAAAGUACUGCGAGUGUGAUUGGAGAGCAGACAACUCUUUUAGCUUUUGAACUGCUCUCACGGUACUUUGAUGUCAUAUGCCGUACAGUCUAUGCAGCGUCGAUGCACCUCGAACAAGCCUAGUGUCGGCAGCAGCUUCCGGUUCACGCAGACUUUUAAGAUUUUGAAUCGCUCUCACAGUACUUUGAUGUCACACUUCGAUCGGUCUGCGCAGCUCCAGCGCAUCUCGAACAAGACUCUUUGCUGCAUGUUUAGCCCCGGCCCACCAAUUCUACAUCACUGCCUAUUUAGCCCCGCCCACCGAUUCUACAUCACUGCCUUUUUAGCUGCGCCCUCCGAUUCUACAUCACUGCCUUUUUAGCCCCACCCACUGAUUCUUCAUCACUGCCUGUUUACCCCCGCCCACCCAUUCUACCUCACUGCCCGUUUAGCCCUGCCCACUGGUUCUACAUCUCUGCCUAUUUAGCCCCGCCCAUCGAUUCUACAUCACUGCCUGUUUAGCCCAGCCCACUAAUUCUUCAUCCCUGCCUGUUUAGCCAAAUGCACUCUCUGCAUUUUCUUGUUUAACAGCACAAGUAUGUCAGUAUUUUAACUAACAGUAGUUUUGGCCUAGCAGAACUAUAUAUCAUUCUGCCACAGAACGUAGCAUACUCGCAUUACUUACAUUUCUGAAUGCAGCAACAAAAUCCCGCUUGCAUAGCCAGAAGCGUUUGCAUUCUGACACUUGUGUGCAGUGUGUUUCAGGCCUAGUAGAGACUCUGGAUGAUGCACAGUCUCUUUGUUCUCAGAUAACUCAGCUGAUCUGAGCGCAGACGCCGUCCUGGCCCUGAACGCCGCUGCGGUUAUUGCCAACAUAAAGCUGCAGGCCCAGCAGAGACGAACUACAUCCCACAGAGCAACAGCAGGUACACCUGAUCUCUCCUGACCUUUGCCUUUCUAAAACACAAGCUUCACUUGAAACACACUGACAUUUAGCAAGAUGAAGGGGAUUUUAUAUAGACAACAGAGAGAGAUUGAUGUCUUUACACUCCGGACAUGUUGGCAUUAGUGCAGCUCAACACACAGUUGGAGUUUUUCCUCCAUUAGUGACCUGCAGAAUAUCUGCCUAUGCUGAGCAUUACAGAUUGAGGUUUCAUGACUGAAUAUUGUUCCUCUUUAUCUGUGUGUUUAAUAGAGGUUAGAGGGCAAAAUGAACACGGGGAGCUCAAAGAAGAGGCUGCUGGUGCUAAUGGAAAGGACAAAACAUGUCCAGUAGAACAAUGUGUGGAUUUUGUCCCAUUUGAGUCCGAAAAUGACCUUUGUGAAACUGCUUUGGCUCCACUGUCCCUUAGCGUGAGUUACUCUUCUCUCUUCUGUUGUUUGCAGGUACUUCUGCACCAAAAUAAUAUUAGUAGUUAUGUAAACGAGGACAUGCAAUAGAUGUCUACAAAUAAAGCAAUUUAGAAAUACUGUAGUGUAGACCA